AGAUCCGUGCUUACCUCGGUCACCUUUUGGUUGUGGACACGGACUGGGCUGGGAAAAAAGAGACCAUAUGUGAAAGCAUGCACGGGUCUUCUCUCUGGAUCAGACGAGAGAGGUGAAAAGCUACAUGUUUCCCAGGAGGGCACCAGUGGGGUCUCUGCUUCUUGAAAUUGCCCAGUUUUUGGCUCCCAAACUUCUUCCGGGUCCCUGCUGGAAGCAGGGGUCCUACAAGCUGCAUCAGGGACAAGACACUGAAGCGUCAAGCAAUGCUAAUGAGGCAGAGAUGGUCAGGAGAAGGCAACUGGUCUGGUAAGCACUGAAGUACUUUGUAGCUUGCAGGCUGACUCAGCCCAGCAAGAGUUGAUUAAGCAACCGCUGCCUGCCCAGCACUGUGGUUUGUAGGGUGGUGGGGAGAGGGCAAGAGGAAGUGCCAGCACAUUUCUACGAGGGAGAAGGUGGCAGAAGUGAGACAGGAAGAACAGAACUCGACAGUGACAGAAAUGGCGAAAGCAGAGUCUUCUUGACCCAUAAGGCAGAACUGAUAGUCAUUAGCACUCAAAGCGGCCAGCAUGGUCCAGGUCAUGGAAUCCUGACUUCAACUUAGUAGACGGAACUGGGCCCUUCUGCCCAGUUGCUAAGCUGAGGACACAGCUACAGGAAGUUCAAUGAGUCAUAGAAGGACACUUAGCCAGGAGGUGGUAGCACUUGGGUCCAAACCCAUCCUCGGGCUCCAGACAGAGGAAGAGGCAACUGUGCUCUGGAGCAGCAGUGACCUGGAGGAAGCCUGGAGGGGGCCAGGGGUGGUUCCCUACAUGCCAACAGAAUCAGGAGUGUGAGAAGGACAUUUGCAACCAGGUAUCAGAGAAGGCUUUUUGGAGGAGGUAACUAAGUCUUUAUGACCUGAUGGAACUGGAUGGGGUCAGGGCUGGCUGGCCUAUCAAUCUGAGCAUGUAGGAAUGGGAAAGGUGGGGAGGGCACUGUGUCUGUUCUAUGACUGCAGACUUUAGGCCUGUGACCACAUAAUCCAGUGGGGAAAGCAAAAGCCUUCUAGCUAGACAGCUUCGCCUCCCAGGGGGCAAGGAGAGAUGAGACACAUCCUGCUUGCCCUCCGAAUACCUAAGGUCAUCAGUUGAUCUUACACAUGCCAAACAGCUCACCGCCAGUAUUCUUGACAACCAUGUGGCCUUUCAUACUUGAGCAGGGUCUAGGGCCCCACUCUUUUGUGUGUCCCCUUACUCACCAGGGAGAGCUGAGAACUGCACACUGGAGCCUGUUCUUUAGUGACGUAGCUCUGGUGGGGACAAAAGGUGAUGUCUGGGGUUUCAAGUGUAGAAAACUCUUCCUUUUCCCCCACCCUCCAUCAACAGAUACCUACCAAGCACUUGUCUGCUCCAGGCGCUGUGCUAGACACCCAGAAUGUUCUAUCUCCCAGAGAAUACUACAAGUGUGAGUCUCAGAAAGGCAUCAGUCUUGCCAGUUACCCAGCGAAGCUUCCAGAUGUCAUGAAUAAGAUGCCUGUGAUGGGAGGUUGCUCUAUCAUGGGGUGAAACCUUGUGUUUUUCCAGUAUUCUCACUGAGAAGUGGCAACGUGGCAUGGAGCCCCUGGGCGAGGCCCCUGCAAGAAUCCCUGUGUUGGGGUACCUCUUGAAGGAGAGACAGCAUGCAUAGGCCUAAGAGGCUGCCUGGCAGAGGGAGAGCCAUCCAAAGGCACUGUGGUCCCGGCAUCAGACACUGCGGCUGCCCUGGAAGUACAGGGCACAACCGGAAGUAAACCAGACUCAGAUCAUGGAUUACUGCUCCAGCCGUGUUGGAGGGCCUGAACUCUACCUGAGGGCUCUUAGAGGAAGAGAAUUAAUGGAGU